UUGUAUCUUUCUGGGACGGGAUGUAAAAAUAGUUACAGAUGACAUGCAGCACAUCGAGAAUGCUAAGGCACGUAGCUUUUAUUUUGUUUUCGUAAAGUUUUAACAUCUGUCAGUGGAGAGAAACUUUUGUUGUGACCGCUGUGUGUUUCACCUUGCUCCAAUUCCGUCCAGUGUGGAUUCUGUGACGUUCAGGACUGAUCAAUGGCCACAGCUCCACCACCACCACCACCACCACCACCCCUCCCCCCUCCAUGCUCUGUGAACCAGGGUAGUUUUGUCCCUCCUCCACCUCGCCCUCAGCAUGCUGCAAUGCCAUUUGUCACCCCUCCAGUCCAAGAGACAAAUCCUUCACCAGAUUCUUUACAGGAUGCAGAGUGUGCACCAGCUCCACCACUGCUGCUUGAUCAAAAUGGACCCCAGUUUCCUCCAAAGGAAGGACACAUUGGCAAUCCCUCUGAUAAUGAGGAGUCCCACCCAGUGCAGGAAACUGAGCCUACAUCAUAGAGGAGAAGGCUGAAACAGCCAUUCAGAAGGACCAGGCCGAAGAGAAACCGACUGUCCUACAGCUCUACAAUUAUUAAUAUUUGCAGCUAAAUUUAUCAUGUAGUGCUUUUCCUUGUUUAUGCACAUUUUUGCCAUAUAGUUAGUAGAUCCUUGUAAAACUCUUUUUUCUUCUGUUUCAAACUGGGUACGUUGAAAAAUAUGCAGUCAUGGGUAUUUACCCGGGAGAAUAUGUUUUGGUUGAAUUUAGGGAAUUGUAUGGUGAAACAUUUUUACCUUAAGCCUUUAAUCGAGACAUCUUGAUAUCUGUAGCUUAAUUUUAGCACUUUGUUGAACUAACUCCUCUGAGCUUGUUUUAUGAAAGCAUGUUCAAUAGGCUACUUAAUAGUGAAACAAUGUAUGCACAGUCACUAUGCUUAGAGAACUUGGAUGAAAUACAGUUUUUUGCUUUAUAAAUUGUAUUGUUUAUUUAAAAGCACAUUUUUAACAAAUUGUUUUUUGUCUCUUUCCCAAUUGUUUGAAUAAACUGAACUUAAGCCUGCUUUAAA